AUGUACCCACGUACACUCCGGUUCCUCCGCGCCGUCCGCACUCACCUGACGACUGCUCGCUACGUUUUGUUAGCG
rnacentral:sRNA from 1 species